AACGAACGCUGGCGGCAUGCCUAACACAUGCAAGUCGAACGAGACCUUCGGGUCUAGUGGCGCACGGGUGCGUACCGCGUGGGAACCUGCCCUUAGGUUCGGAAUAACUCCCCGAAAGGGGUGCUAAUACCGGAUAAUGUCUUCGGACCAAAGAUUUAUCGCCUUUGGAUGGGCCCGCGUUGGAUUAGCUAGUUGGUAGGGUAAAAGCCUACCAAGGCGACGAUCCAUAGCUGGUCUGAGAGGAUGAUCAGCCACACUGGGACUGAGACACGGCCCAGACUCCUACGGGAGGGAGCAGUGGGGAAUAUUAGACAAUGAGCGAAAGCCUGAUCCAGCAAUGCCGCGGGAGUGAUGAAGGCCUUAGGGUUGUAAAGCUCUUUUACCCGGGAUGAUAAUGACAGUACCGGGAGAAUAAGCUCCGGCUAACUCCGUG
rnacentral:rRNA from 1 species